GGUACCAUGGCCGAGUGGUCUAAGGCGCAAGAUUCAAGCUCACAAAAGCUUACACUUCAGUGUUCCCUUGUUCAUCUUCGGUUCGAAUCCGGAUGGUACCA